GUAGAUAUAGUUCAAAGGUAGAACAGCUGUGUGUGGAACAGCAUAUCUUAGUUCGAUUCUAAGUAUCUACC
rfam:Penicillium coprophilum strain IBT 31321 PENCOP_contig040, whole genome shotgun sequence.